rnacentral:lncRNA from 14 species
GUUUAUUUAGGCAGUCUGCAAGGCUCUGAAUAGCGGUAUCACUUGAAAGACCAGAGCAUCCGAUGUAUGGGUUGCGAACUCUGCAUAUGAUACCGAUCAUCACAGCAGAACUUCACUGAACUUCCAUGUCUAUGACCCACGUUACAGCAAAUGCUGUCCAGGCAACCGACUGAGGUCUUGGGGAAUGAGACUGGACUGCAGCUGCUGGCUUAAUGAGGAGUUCUGAGGCUGAGCAGCAGAUUAUGCAGAAUUUCCUGUUCUUGUCAUGGUUGAAGGGAGAAGGAAGGGAGCAGGGGCACAGAGGUCCUCCCCAGAUCCAGUCCUGCACACCCUCGUGCCUGGAGGCUCACCGUCAGACUCCCCAGGAUGGGAAAGAUGUGUUUCUUGCCUGUCUUAUGUACACAGACUGCUUUUCCAUGGAGGAUUUCCAAGGUCUGUUCCUGGCAGUACAAUCUGAUACCUCUCCCUUUAAACCCAUGUUUCUUGGACUUGAAGAGAAGCUUUUGCUCUGA